rnacentral:lncRNA from 1 species
UGAAACGAAUACAUUUUUAUCAAACAACCUGUGCAGUGAUCGAAGCUUUUAAAAAAGUUUAAACUUUUUUACCCUAAUACAUAUACAAGUAAUUUUGUACUAUAAACAUACACAAUCAAUCGAGUCAAGGCUCUCAUGUAUAGCCUAAACCAACUUUGUAAUUUGCGUGUUCAGUUUGAAAAUAAAGUAAACACAGUAAUAAU